ACACCUGCAAUAGAGGCAUUUCAGGAGUACAAAUCCAUAUGUGAAAAUGAACUGGGCUUAAUGCGCUUCUCCAGCAGUCGAUAAAACGAGGGAAAAACACAGAGAAACCGUGAAUGUUGAGAAUCUUCACAGGUCUGAAAAGCCUGGGCUGUGAUUUUAAGUAACAGGGGACAGAUGAGGAGCUCAUCACUUCUAACGAUUCCCAUUUGGUUCUGUGAUUGCCUGUUCAUUCCCCACACCCGAAGGAGCACGAGGGCACGCAGAGGGACACGGAGCCCAAAAAACUCAGUGGAAAGAAGCCCUAGCACAGCUCUAGCCCUAGGGUAAGGGGUGAAAUAAAAGAGAGGAAAAGGGGUAUGGGGAGUCUGGGGAGGAACAAGCAUGGGAAAAUAGAAGGAUGAAGAGAUAAGCGGGGCAAGUCACGUGUAAUAAGGCCUGGUCAUGUUUGUCCAGGCUGGUGCAGGUUGUUCUGCCACGUUAAAAUCCACUUCUGCCUUGUGUCUUGGAUGAUGGACUCCCUGUUCUGCAGGAACACAUGCCUACAGGCUCUGAGUAUGGGAACUGGAGUCACAUACUCCAUAGGCGUGCCUGUGUUGUGUGGGUGUGCGUGUCAAAGUGUGGUCACUAGUGAACAUCCAGCUAGGCUGGUGUGGAGCUUAGGAGUCAGAUAUUGGGGUGACCAUAGGUCUGGGCCUAUCCUGGAGAGAGCAGAGGCUAACAAGGUGGCUGCUGAAGGGAUGAGAGCAUCCAAGCCUGUUACUGCAGAGCCCACACGCUCUGAAGGUCUACUAAGGGACCCUGCACGUGUGCAUGUGUCUGCAGAACUUCUAGCUGUCUGAAGCCAGCUACUGGAAGGAUCCCUAUGGAAUCAUUACAUUCUCCAGUGCCCAUCCCCUGAUGGCCUCCUCUUGGACAAAUUCCAUCAUAAUGUCCUGGAGCUAUCUUACCAACUGAUGCUUUGUCUUCUGCUGCCGUUCCCCAUCCAGUAGUUUCAGUCCAUUCAGAAAUACCACUGCAGUGAUACCAGGUGCCACCACAUUACUUCCCAGCAGUUGGAUCAUCCUUACCCUCCAAAAAGUGUUUGCCCCAGCUUGAUUGAUCGAAGGAAAGCUGUAAAGGACAAACCUGCAAUGACUCCCCACAGCCAUCCAUCUAAAGGUGGGUUAUUCUCCAGCUCCAGUAAGCGAAACAAAAGCGAAGCAUGGAAUGGGCACGCGGUGCUCAAACCUGGGGAGCUCCCAUCGGCAUUUUGUACCUGCUGAGAAUCAGGGGAAUUUCAAGAGAAAUCCAGAACUUCAAGCCACUGCAGAAGGGCUGUUUCUGGAACCUGAAUUACCAUUCCUUCAGCUAACUCGGGCACCUCUGACGCUGUUGGAAGUACAGCCUAAGCUGAAUGCAAAGGACAAAAAGUACGCUGAAUUGUUUAAAACCAUAUCUACACAUUUUUAAUUUAAAAAAAUACAUGAUUAGCAGAAAAAAAAAAUGGUGUAUGAAAACAUGGUUUUGG